GUGAUGAUGGAGGCGUUAUCCAGUAUGACACACAUACCGUUAAUGCCGAUGAAAGAGUGGAAAUGACGUGCGUCUCAACAGGGUUUCCGCUGCCAACUGUCACAUGGUCCCGGGAGGAUGCUCCUCUUCCUCAGAGAGCCAUUGUUGACGAGGAGUUCCUGAUAAUUCGGUCCAUCCGUCUAGAAGAUGCAGGAACUUAUGUCUGUACGGCGGAGAACACGGGCGGACGAGUUACAAAAAGAGUCACACUGUUUGUUAGAGAAUGUGACAAAGAAUCAUAUGGUAUUGAAUGUAAUGAAACGUGUGGACACUGUCGUGAUAACCAAUGCUCUAAUGUCAAUGGCUCUUGCUUAACUGGAUGUGAUGCUGGUUAUAAAGGGGACUUAUGUAAAACACAAUGUGACAAAAGAUCGUAUGGUAGUGAAUGUAAUGAAACAUGUGGACACUGUCGUGAUAUAAACCAUUGCUCUAAUGUCAAUGGCUCUUGCUUAACUGGAUGUGAUGUUGGUUAUAAAGGGGACUUAUGUAAAACACGUGAGUACACAAACACCAAGGUACAAGCAAAACUAGAAACUUAUUAUUAUAAAAACAUAUGUGAAAAACAGUACAGAAGCAAGUUUAUGAUAAAAACAUUUACAGCACGUUGAUUUUUAAAUUCUUUUUGGAAUUACGCGAUGCGAUUAGAACUAAUAACAUUAACAGAUUUACGGUGAUUUGCGGCAUCAAAUGUAACAUAUACAUAUAUAGAUAAAUAGAUGAAUAGAUAAGAAGAUAUAUGAAUGAAUAAAUGAAUAGAUAGGACGAUUGAUGAGUGAUUGCAUAGAUGGACGACCAACAAAUUUGACAAACAGACUGCCGGAAAGAUAGAUAGAUAGAGAUAGAUAGAUAUAUAGAUAGAUAGAUAGAUAGAUAGAUAGAUAGAUAGAUAGAUAGAUAGAUACAUGUAUAGGAUAUUGACGUUUGUGCACUGCAUUGGUAGAAAUUAUAUAAAUUUGAAAUAGUGGAUAAAAAAAAAAGGACAGAGAAAUCAUGGUAAGUCAAAUAAAACGGAAAUAAUAUCUUGAUAGUAUGUGUUCUACGUAAUAUGCCUUAAUUAAAGCCAUUGAAAAGAAUAAAACCAUACAACGUUAGCUGCACACAUUUUAUAUCGUCUUUUAGUUAAAAUAACAUAUACUGUGUUUAAGUGUAGAAUUUCAGCAAUAUAUCAUUAUCACUCUUAUAGCUGAGGUUAAUGAUUUGACUCUGGAAUAUUUUAUCAUACCUCUGAGAAUAUUUUGUGUGUGUAAGAUAACAAGAAAUAAAACUGCUAUUCUGUUUAACCAUGAAAUAGUUUCCGUGUAAUCUGCCCAUGGUGUAUAAUUACUGAAACUAUUCACCCACAACAUUUGUAAUGGUGUAAUCCAUGUUGCUACAUUGAAUUCAAAGUUCAGUAACUCUUAUUUCUUAACUAUAUAAAAUAAUUGCAGACAAAUAAAUUCUUUUUAGUAUAAAACUAUUUAUUACCUUAUUAAAGGAAUUUUGUUGUUUUAUUAAAAGUUGAAUAUUUGAGUCUAUUUUGAAUGUGUUUGCAGUUUUGCUUAACUGUUGAAAUUCUACUGAACUGCUGAUCAAUAGACUGCAAUCAAUUGGACCGCCGGUCAAUAAACUGCAAUUUAUUGAACCGCACGGUAUUUUAGAACGCGGGUAUGUUAAGGUUUCCCGAUUGAUUUCACAGGAAUUUGAUUUUUUUUUCAGCUGUCAGGAAACAUGCAUCGUAACGUUAAGAGUGGAUUUUGUUGAGCAUUUAUAAAACUGAUUGUUUUCUUUACAUAGACAAUAUUUUUGAUACUAAUGAUAUCAAUUCAUUAUUAUCAAUGGUAAGUAUCAAAUGAUCAGCAGCUUUAAAGCUUCGUAUAAGGUAAAUGACUAUUAUUAAGCUAAUGGUAUGGACCCCCCUUCUCUCUCUCUCUCUUUCUACGCCGUUGUACACUAAUAUGGAGAUGUGUGUAUCAACUUUGGCGCAAGUGAAAGAUUAAAACAAUCAUUAUGUAGUAUAGUGCAUAAUGACAUGGAAAUCUUAUGUAAUAUGCCAGUUGUAAACCCUAAAUACUAAAAACGGAAUUAAGUAAUGAAACAAUUAUUAAAUGCCGGAACAGUCGAUAUACCAAAACUGUUUCCCUUGGAGCAGGGAACAGGUCAGUAUGAUUUAUUACCUUCGGCCGUUGGCUCGGGCAAUAGAUCAUACUGAGCUACUCCCUACACCUCGGGAAAUUUUUUUGGGUCUAUUGACUGCUCAAUAAUUAAACAAUUGUAUAAUAUUUACUAGCCAUUCAGACAAUAGCACGUUUAUUGUUCCCCUCGAUAGCAACUAUUUUUUCCGACUUCGCCUCGUGAAAUUCGUGGUGGAAAUUUAAAUUUGAUAUCGUCCUCAUAUCAGGUAAAUACGUAUUAAACAUACAUGUAUGUUUACACUCUUUGAUCCGGUACUAUUAUCUACCGCUUGCAUACGAAUCAACUUAAUUUACGUUAUUCAAUAUUGUAAGAUGGUUUUUCAAACUAAACAGUAUUUUCAUGUACAAUUAAAUCGUGCAAAAACAAAGAAGAAGACCACGAAUGGUACAUGUAAUGCACAAGGUAACAUUUUACAACAGUUUAGCUGCAAAACUUGUAAUGGUGACAGCUUGGGAAAAGGUAUGGUAAGAAUAUUGUUUUAUUAUUUUAGCAUGAUCAGAUUUAAAGUGAUAUUUUGGAAACAAAAACAAGAUAUUUUGUUAAAUAAAAAGGAAUAUGAAGGAUGAACUUAUAACAUAUCAUAUUGAGCAUUGCGACUAAAACGCAAACAAAAAAGUAACAAACCUAAACCGCAGUUGAUAUGUAAUGUACAUAUUGGACAGUUAGGAUACUUAAAUAAUGUGAUAUCAAAUGUGACAUGUUGAUGGUUAAGGAUGUCAUUGUUUGACGUUGAUAUUAUUUUGUUUUGACCUCAGCCAACUUGUUUUACUUCUAACGGUUUUAAUGAUAUAUCCCGAUUUAUAUAAAUAAAAAAAACCUUUGUUAAACCACAUGGGUAAUAAAACGCGAAUGGUUGAUUUACUAUACUUAUGUUUUGGUUUUUUUUGUCAUACGCACGGGGGUAUUUUUAAGAGAUUCAAGCGUACUGAGUAAUUGUGUAAAUUCCCCCAUGCAUUAAUUACCACUUUUACUAUAGACUUCAAAUUAUUGUUAUGUUUUCUUUUUCUCAGAUGACUUAUGAUCGUCUGAAUCGGAGGAAAUAUUUUUGGAACCGGAUGGGAGACCAGGUGUCCUAUACAUGUGGAAAUAUGAGAAAGAUGUUUUAAGGAAUGCUAAGAAGUAAUUACCACAUAAAAAAUACCAAGUCAAAUGCAGAUGGAAAGUCUAAGGUUAUAAUUCCACAACGAAACCCAAAGAAGACUAGUUCAUAAACCUCCUGAGUAGAAAGAAUCAUACAGUACUGACGUCAUUCAAAAGUACCGCGUUGAUUUAGAGACAUCUAAAGAAACAUAUGUCAUGCAAUCUCAUUUGAUAUUCAGCAAAUUUUAAUCUAGCAGUUGUAUGGUUACAAGAAUGUUAACGCUACACAUAAUUAUGAAACUGUUUCGUAUGAUCAUACUAGCUAUAUGUUGAUGGAUCCUUUUAAAUACUUAUUUUCUUGGAACUUUUGCAGCGAAAUAAAAGAAAAAUUGAGAUAUAUAUUUACAUUUUGUAAGCAUAUAUAUGUAAUGAUUGUUUUUAAAUAUUAAUGUUAGCAUUUGUAUUUUAAUUAGCGUACUUAUAUUUUGCAGGCAUGAGUCUACCGAAUUGUCUUUACAAAUGUCCAAAUCAGGUGGAAUUUCUAGAGUACUCAAUGACAUGUUUUCGUGAAAAAUUAUAUUUAAAACUGGUCUAAUUUGCUCUUGUGUCUUGUGCCCCCCUUCAGGCCAACCCGUCCAAUAAGAAACAGUCCUUUGUUUUAGCCUAUGUUUACUUGUUUAUUAGAGAUUUAAAGAUAUAUUGAACCUAUCAUGAUUAAGGAGUUUUUGCAAAGUCUUUUUUUAUUUUAUUUUCUAUUUAUUUUUUUUAUAGGAACCAAAUUUAAGAGAAUGUAGUUUGUUUAAAUCCAUUGAUAUUACUUUAGAAGAUGUAGUUUUAUAUAACUUAAGAUGUACUAGUACUUUUAUAUAUUAAUUUGUGAUUCUAUAAUAUGAUUUCAAAUAGACAAACUGAUCUGCCAAACAGAAAUACAUUUUUUUAAAGGUACCUGCAAUUAAUGGUACAUGAAUAAUAAAAAAAUGUUUUUAUGAUAAAAUUGUUUUUUGAUAAAACAACAAUUUUGCUUUUAUAUUCCCUGUAAUUUCUGUUUCGUUUUAUGAUACUGUGCGUUGUGAAAGUGAAGGAUCACGCUUUUUUUAAAAGGGAAGAUUAUUAGGAAUUAUUGAAAAACAAUUAAGAAAUAUCUAAAAACCUUUUCUCAAUAACCACACUUCUAUGUAAAAUGUUGACUUGACACCCCCCUCCCCCAUUGUGGGCCCAUCCUAGCCCGGGGGUCAUGAUUUUCAAAACGUUGAAUCUAGAGUAGCUGAGGAUGUUUUCACACGAGUUUCAGCUUUCCUCACCAAAUGAUUGUUGAGAAAAAGGUUUUUAAAUAUUUAAAUAGUAAAUUUUUAAAAAUAUCCUUCUCAGAAUCGUAUCAGCAAGGAAAGAAGAAACUUUUGUGGAAUCAUCCUCAGGUAUUGGAUAUUCAAAGUUCUGGGGUGAAUUUUUCAAAGGAAUAUACAGAGUAAAUCUUCUCAACAUCUAAUCAGAUAGGACGGUUGAAACUUCUGUGGAAGAAUUCUCAGAUUUAAGGUAGUGUAGAUUCAAAGUUGUGAAAAUGAUGAACCCCAAGGGUAGGUUGGGACCACAAUUGGGGUGGGGGGUCGAAAUUUUACAUAAACAUAUAUGGAGUAAAUCUUUAAAAAAUCUUAUCGGAAACUAAUCAGCUAGGAAAUGUGAAACAUUUGUCAAAGCAUCUUCAUUUAGUGUAGAUUUAAAAUGGUAAAAAUCAUGACCCCUGGGGAAAGGGUUGGGCCACAAUGCUGGGAUAGUUUUCAAAGAAAUAUAUAGUGUACAUCUUUGAAAAUAAUCUUCUCUGAAAAUAAUCAGCCAGAAAAUGUUUUGAUUAUCACACUGGGGGUCAAAUUUUUACUUAGGAAUAUUUUGAGUAAAUCUUUCAAAAACAUCUUCUCUGAAACUUAUCAGCAAUGUGUUUCUUUUAGAUUGCUUAAAUUUUGUUCCCUGGAGGAUUUUGUGGUCUCACAAGGGGUUCAGAGUUCCAUGAAGUUUCAUAUACUUUAUAUAAGUAAUUGUUUAAGAUCUUGAAAACUGCAAUGCGCAACAUGUAUUAUUACUAUAAAGUCAUUCUUUUCGAAGAGAGACUUGUGAUAAUAAACAUAAGAAUAUUCCGGGGAUGGGGAUUUUUAUUAACACAUUAUCUUCAUGUGUCAUACUACAUUGUUCAGAUGGUUUAUAUUAUGACUCAAUUAACCUGUUUUAUCAUACCUAUUGUUCCUCAGGUGAGCGAUGUGGUCCAUGGGCCUCAUGUUUGACACAUAUUACAGAGGUUAAAUAACAAACCAAUGACGUGUGUAUACAUUUUCUUUCUCAUUACCUCAGUUAUUCUAGUCAUAUCUUUACAAAAUGGUAUUGAGAUAUUGAUAACCAGUGUAUCUUUAUCAAUUAUUUGUUGUGGUUCUUUUUUUUUAUUUGUAAAACUCUUACUAAAUGAAUAAAUUUUUACACUGAAAUAUGUCCAUUAUAUAGUGUCAGUAAAUUAAGAGUUGUUAAUCAGCUGCGUUAUUAAUUUGAUGGGGAUCAAAUUGCUCAAAAUAUUACGACACAUGUAUUAGUAAUGGUAAGACAAGAGUGGCUACCAAAGUUGGAUACUUUUAAAACUUACUUGAAGAGAAUAAUAGCUCUGUGGCUCUUGAAAUGAGUUUAACUAUUUUUUAAGAUUAAAAAUAGAUUUUGAAUUUAAACAAAAUAACAACCUUUUACAAAAUAUGUAUUACAUGGCUUGAUUCGAUAAAAGUUGAUGAACGUUUUAGAUGGUUUUGUUUCGAUUUGUUUUGUUUUCG